CCCUUAGAUGUUCUGGGCCGCACGCGUGCUACACUGAGUGGAUCAGCGGGUCAGGUUGCGCGAAAGCGUUUCCUAAUCUUUAAAUCCGCUCGUGAUGGGGAUUGACGGUUGCAAUUUUCUGUCAUGAACGAGGAAUACCUUGUAAGCGCGGGUCAUCAUCCCGCGCUGAAUACGUCCCUGCCCUUUGAACACACCGCCCGUCGCUCCUACCGAUUGAGUGGUCCGGUGAGGCUUUGGGAUCUGAGCGGAAAGAGCGUUUCGCUGUUUCUGCUCGGAAAACUCAGUCGAACCUUAUCAUUUAGAGGAAGGAGAAGUCGUAACA
rnacentral:rRNA from 1 species